rnacentral:rRNA from 1 species
AUUGAACGCUGGCGGCAGGCCUAACACAUGCAAGUCGAGCGGCUGCAGGGAGCUUGCUCUUGGAUUCAGCGGCGGACGGGUGAGUAAUGCCUAGGAAUCUGCCUGGUAGUGGGGGAUAACUUCCGGAAACGGUCGCUAAUACCGCAUACGUCCUGCGGGAGAAAGUGGGGGAUCUUCGGACCUCGCACUAUCAGAUGAGCCUAUGUCGGAUUAGCUAGUUGGUGGGGUAAAGGCCUACCAAGGCGACGAUCCGUAACUGGUCUGAGAGGAUGAUCAGCCACACUGGAACUGAGACACGGUCCAGACUCCUACGGGAGGCAGCAGUGGGGAAUAUUGGACAAUGGGCGAAAGCCUGAUCCAGCCAUGCCGCGUGUGUGAAGAAGGUCUUCGGAUUGUAAAGCACUUUAAGUAGGGAGGAAGGGCAGUAAGUUAAUACCUUGCUGUUUUGACGGUACCAACAGAAUAAGCACCGGCUAACUUCGUG